rnacentral:rRNA from 1 species
AUAUACUAUAAUGAUUUAAUUAAUAAAGUCCACGAAAAUGAGCGAGCUAAAAAUUUGUAUGUUUAGCAUAUGUAGUAGUUGUAGCAAUAUCUUCCAAUUAAAAAUUUUUAGGGGUGAUAGGCCUAUCAAGCUUAUAGAUAACUUGUCAGGUAGGAAAUAUAUUUAGUAUAGCGUCAAACCCAAAAUGAUAAGGUUUUUGGUAGGUACUAUAAACUAUGUUAUUUUCCUUUAUUGAUUAAAAACUAAAAGUUAUAGGUAUUAUAUUAUUUAUGUAAAACUGUAUGUGCCUUAUACUACUUAUUGGUAUUUACUCAAUAUAACAUAUAUAAUGUAUAUAUUAGUAUUUUUUUAUUUUUUUAUAAGGAACUCGGCAAAAAUUAAUUUUCGACUGUUUACCAAAAACAUAGCCCUAAGUAUUAUAUUUAGGGUUUUCCCUGCUCAAUGGUACUCUAAAUAGCCGCAGUACCCUGACUGUGCAAAGGUAGCAUAAUAAAUUGGCUUAUAAUUGAAGUCUAGUAUGAAAGGGUUUACGGAAAUUUACUGUCCCAGAAAAAAUUUCAGAAAUUAAUUAAUAAGUGAAAAUUCUUAUAUAUAGAAAAUAGACGAGAAGACCCUAGAAAUUUUUUACAAAUUUUUAUUAAACUAUUUUGUUGGGGCGACAAGGUAACAUUUAACUUACCUAUAUAAUAUGAAAAUGCUUAUUUGGAUAACUAAAUUACUCUAGGGAUAACAGCAUUAUUUAUAUAUAAGUUUGUGACCUCGAUGUUGGACUAGGACCUAUUUUACCUAAAAAGUAAAAUAUUUGGCUCUGUUCGAGCUUAAUUUCCUACAUGAUCUGAGUUCAGACCGG